AUAUUAAAGUAGCGGAACCUUUCCUUGGGAAUUUGUUUGGGAGGGGAUGUUAUUGGUGAGACACUUUGGUGGGGCUUCCUCGUGUGUGCCAUGCGGUUGCCUCAGUCCGUUUCCGGAUGAGGCCGAUGACGCAUGUCCUUCUCGCUUCUCCCUUCAAUAUACAAAUAUUGUGUGUGUACUGGUGAAGGAGAAGCUGACGCCCCGUGUCUCAUCUUUUAUUUCUUUUCUUACAG